ACGUAGGGGGCAAGCGUUGUCCGGAAUGAUUGGGCGUAAAGGGCGCGUAGGCGGCCUGGUAAGUCUGGAGUGAAAGUCCUGCUUUUAAGGUGGGAAUUGCUUUGGAUACUGUCGGGCUUGAGUGCAGGAGAGGUAAGUGGAAUUCCCGGUGUAGCGGUGAAAUGCGUAGAGAUCGGGAGGAACACCAGUGGCGAAGGCGACUUACUGGACUGUAACUGACGCUGAGGCGCGAAAGUGUGGGGAGCAAACAG
rnacentral:rRNA from 1 species